rnacentral:rRNA from 1 species
AUUGAACGCUGGCGGCAGGCCUAACACAUGCAAGUCGAGCGGAUGAAGGGAGCUUGCUCCUGGAUUCAGCGGCGGACGGGUGAGUAAUGCCUAGGAAUCUGCCUGGUAGUGGGGGAUAACGUCCGGAAACGGGCGCUAAUACCGCAUACGUCCUGAGGGAGAAAGUGGGGGAUCUUCGGACCUCACGCUAUCAGAUGAGCCUAGGUCGGAUUAGCUAGUUGGUGGGGUAAAGGCCUACCAAGGCGACGAUCCGUAACUGGUCUGAGAGGAUGAUCAGUCACAAUGGAACUGGGAAAGGGUCCAACCCCCUACGGGGGGCAGCAGGGGGGAAUUUUGGAAAAUGGGGGAAAGCCUGAUCCAGCCAUGCCGGGGGUGGGAAAAAGGUCUUCGGAUUGUAAAGCCCUUUAAGUGGGGGGGAAGGGCAGUAAGUUAAAACCUUGCUGUUUUGACGUUACCAACAAAAAAAGCACCGGCAAACUUCGG